rnacentral:rRNA from 1 species
CAUUACUGUAAGAACUUAGGGUUUUUGAGACUGCGCCACCGAGCGUGUGCUCGAACCCUUACUCUUUCAUCCACACACACCUGUGCACCAUGGGACGUCAAGUCCCCUUUUCACAAACACCAAGUCAUACGCAUGUCUUACUUUGCUCUACGGAGUAUUAGAACAACUUUCAACAACGGAUCUCUUGGCUUUCGCAUCGAUGAAGAACGCAGCGAACGUGCGAAACGUAAUGUGAAUUGCAGAAUUCAGUGAAUCAUCGAAUCUUUGAACGCAUCUUGCGCUCCUUGGUAUUCCGAGGAGCAUGCCUGUUUGAGUGUCGUGAAGUCACCUCAAUUUCAAUCCUUUUUGGUUUGAAAUUGGAUUUGGGUGUUGCCGUGAGAUCCUCACGACUCAUCCUAAAUGCAUUAGCGAUCUGCCGUUUUGAUCACACGCAAUGUGAUAAGAUAUUUAAAGCAUUGCAAGGGUCGAAUUCAGGAUUGCUUCCAACCGUCCGAAAGGACAAAGUACUUAUGUCAUUUGACCUCAGAUCAGGUAGGACUACCCGCUGAACUUAAGCAUAUCA